UGGGAAGUGAUGACGCUUUUGACUGCUGACAUGGCACUGAUUUCUGUUGUAUUCGUACUGGCUGAUCCCA
ensembl:snoRNA